rnacentral:misc_RNA from 1 species
AGCAGCCGCGGUAAUUCCAGCUCCAAUAGCGUAUAUUAAAGUUGCUGCAGUUAAAAAGCUCGUAGUUGAAUUUCGGGACUAAUAUGUCGGUCGUGCCUCGGUACGUACUGGUUUAUUGGUUUCUCCUUUCUGAAGAACCAUGAUGUCAUUUAUUUGGUGUCGUGGGGAAUCAGGACUGUUACUUUGAAAAAAUUAGAGUGUUUAAAGCAGGCUCACGCUUGAAUACAUUAGCAUGGAAUAAUGAAAUAGGACGUUUGAUUCUAUUUUGUUGGUUUCUAGGAUCGACGUAAUGAUUAAUAGGGAUAGUUGGGGGCAUUAGUAUUCAAUUGUCAGAGGUGAAAAUUCUUGGAUUUAUUGAAGACUAACUACUGCGAAAGCAUUUGCCAAGGAUGUUUUCAUUAAUCAAGAACGAAAGUUAGGGGAUCGAAGACGAUCAGAUACCGUCGUAGUCUUAACCAUAAACUAUGCCGACUAGGGAUCGGAUGAUGUUAAUUUUUAAUGACUCAUUCGGCGCCUUAAA